rnacentral:lncRNA from 1 species
CCUGGUAAAUUGGAUUCUGCAUCAUUAAUAAUCACCUGGAGGACAGAGGAAGAGAGUCCCGCUAAUUGACAAUCACUCAGAAAUGAAUUGGCCAAAGCAAGUCACAUGGCCAAAUUUCAAGUCCUCAUGGGAGGAGACCACCAAGGCUGUGGAGGUGGAAUUCACUGGGAACAAUAACUGUAAAACCUACAACACAGAGUCUUAUAAGGAGACAGGCUAUCUGCAUUAAAAUCAAAACCACAGUCCAAGGCUUAUGUGGCUUCUCAAGGCUCCAAGCCAGGGCGCUUUCUCCCACCCC